GGAAAAAUUCACUCCUUCCUUUUUGAUUCAGUCGAUCAAAAACCAUGUCCAAUUCCGAAGUUCAACAUCAAUAUUAUGUGCAUACAUUUGAAGGAUGACAGAAUACCAAUCCGAAUCCAAAGUCACAUAUAUUAAUAACAUUACAGUUUGUAAAAAAUUUUAUAAUGACAGUACAACUCUGAGAAGUUAAUAUUCGGAUGGCUAUUAACCUGGGAGCUGCUAAAUAUUCUGUAAUAUACAAAACUGGGAGCUGGAGAUGGGUAGAGUUUUCAAUCCAUGACUCCCAACUGUUUUCCGUCCUCUCAGGCUGUCACUAAAUGAGGACCAGUGCGUGGAAGCACACAUGAAUAAGUAACAUACUUCACGCUGUCUAAGAGCACAACAACAAAAAUCCGAGAUAUGGACUUUGGUGUGAUCAUGCCAUCAACCUCACUGUAGCCAGCCUCUCUGGGAUCGAAGAGCACAGAGACAACCAUGGGGGGGACUGUUUUAUUACCUUGAAAGUUGUCUUUCUGGGCAUUUCCAACAUGUUCCCCAGUACUAUUCAGUUCAGAUCCUGCGAGGGGAAUUGGAAGACCAUGGAGAAUCCUUCUGUUUUUCCCCUUGUUGUGCUGUGUAGCAUUCCGCUGGCGCUGAGCUGCUGUAAUAUUGGUGACUGACGAAGCAGAAAUAAUAGCUCCUGGAGCUUGUAAGGCAUCAAACUGGAACACUUCUCUGCACAUGCCAGAACUCAACAUUGGCCCAGCAUGGCCUUCAUGGAACCACUGCUGCAGCUUACCAUCAGCUGCAGAUGACUUUAAGUGGUCCUUUAGAGUGUCAGCAGACCCAGAUGCAAGGGCCUUAUGUCGAGCAUUACGAGUCCGAUAUAAGUGAGAAUUCCUCCCUCUAUUGGUUCCAACAUCAGGCGUAGCAGGCCCUGGAAAAAAAUCUCUUGGGAUUGCCAAACCCGUCUCCUUGCUUUUAUUUAUUUCAGGAUUUUCAUGAGACGCCAUAGCUCUCUCACUGGCCAGAACAGAAUGAAUUAUCAAGUUACCAUCAAUCUUGAUAAGCUCAUCAUUCCUCGGUACAAACAAAGAUGCAGCGAGUGGCUUAUUACUAGUAUUACCAAGUCUAACAAAUUUGUCUGAGUCUGGUAAAUGCUUCAAUCCUCCUUCCAUCUUGGCAUCAUAUGCCAAACAUCCAUCACCCCCUGUCCCACACUGUAUUCUACUACCAACAUGAAAAUUUCCAUUAGAAAACUCAACACCGAUGCUCUCAUGAGACCUAUUUGAAUGCCCAUGAACUCCAAAGACCCUACCUCUCUGCUUAUCAUAAAACUUCUCACUAACAAAACCAGAACCAUUAGCACCAUUUUCCUUGAUUCCUCCAAACUUCACAUUCACAAUUGGCACCAAUCCACCAAACAACAAAAUGAAAAAUAACAAACCCAAAAAGCUAACACUAGCAACCUUCUUAGUCUUAACCCCAGCUUUCUUACCCUCAGCUUUUUUAGCUUUUACAGCAGAUACAGGCUGCUGUGUUUUCAAUCUAGGGAUUGGAACCAACGGCACAUGAGACCCUUGCGGCUUAACUACAUAAGGGGACGGCACCCAUGGAUAUGGCAUGGGCGUCAUUGGUGGAUACAUAGGGGGCGGGCACAUACCAUUGCCACUCAACUGUUGCUUCAAACUUGCAUUUUCAGCCAUAAAAAAUGAAAUUUUACUAUUUAAUUCCGCAAUGGUUGAAUGCAUUGCUCUCACCUUGUCUUCCAGCUCCUCCACGUAAUGCUUCUUUCUCUGCCUUGAAAGCUGCGCGCUCUCUCGGUUUCUCAUCAGCCUUGCCCUCUUUUUCUCCUCCUCUUCACUCAAUUCAACGAAACUAUUUGGGUUGGCGUUCUUUGACCUCAGGUACUUCUGAUUUCUUGUUUGGCCAUUAACAUCCUCGCUAGGGGUCUCUUUCUUCCUCUUUGGCAAGCUGCAACUUAUGACAUUUACUUCUUCGAGUUUGAUCUUCUGAUCAACCACUAAAGCACCCGAAUCAGGAGAAGGCACAUUCAUGACUUCAGAUACACCCGACCCACCAUUCCCGGAGCCAUAAGAGGACACUGGCGAGGGAAAAUUCAAUGCCCUAGCAGAAUUAGAACUUAGAUCAGCCGAAUUACAACUAAUUGACUCCGGAAGCGAGCAAUUCAGAUACGUAGCAACAUUAGAACCAUCAUCGCCACAAAUUCCAGAGCUCCCCGACUCCAGUGAAGCAGAAUUCGCCUGAUGCGCAGUGAAAUCAGCAAUAUGACCAUCAGAAGAACCCGGUUGCGGAGAAACAUCAAGGUGGCUUAUAUCAAUGGCAGGGUUGGGGAUAGAGAAGUGCUCGUUCUCGGAGGGAAAGUAGAAGCUGUCGUGAUCGUCAAAGGUGAUGUCGAAAUCGUAAUCAUCGUCAAGGGAUAGGGGUAGAUCCGAGAUGAAGUUUUCUCCUGCAAUGGUUGUGGAUAAGGAAUUUUGUGCAGAGAGGAACAUGGGAUCGAGGGGCGGGAUUGGGAGGGAAUCAAAAUCAUCCAUGGAAUUAUUAGAAUCCGCCACUGGUGGCGGUGGGUGAUGGGCGGUGAUAGCGUCGCCCAUUGCAGAGGUGGUUAUUGGUAAGGGUUUGAGAAGCGGAGGGUUUUCAAGAGGAAGACUGCUGGAGUCAUCUAGAGGAUGGUUUCGAACAAGGAAAAUCAGAGCAUUUGUUGUAAUUUCG
rnacentral:misc_RNA from 1 species